GCAGGGUGAAGGUGCAGUAACAUGCACUGGAGGCCCGAACCGUUGAGCGUUGAAAAGCUCUCGGAUGACCUGUGCCUAGGGGUGAAAGGCCAAUCAAACUUGCUGAUAGCUGGUUCUCCUCGAAAUCUAUUUAGGUAGAGCGUUAGAUGAAUACCAUCGGGGGUAGAGCACUGGAUGGGCUAGGGGGUCUCACCGACUUACCAAACCUAACCAAACUCCGAAUACCGAUGAGUAAUAUCUGGCAGACACACUACGGGUGCUAAGGUCCGUAGUGGAAAGGGAAACAGCCCUGACCGCCAGCUAAGGUCCCUAAGUUAUGGCUAAGUGGGAAAGGAUGUGAGAGUGCAUAGACAACCAGGAUGUUGGCUUAGAAGCAGCCAUCAUUUAAAGAAAGCGUAACAGCUCACUGGUCAAGCGCUCUUGCGCCGAAAAUGUACCGGGGCUAAAGCCAUACACCGAAGCUGCGGAUGCACAUUUAUGUGCGUGGUAGCGGAGCGUUCUGUAAGCCUGUGAAGGGUGACCCGCGAGGGCACUUGGAGGUAUCAGAAGUGAGAAUGCUGACAUGAGUAGCGAUAAAGAGGGUGAGAGACCCUCUCGCCGAAAGACCAAGGGUUCCUGCGUAAAGCUAAUCUGCGCAGGGUUAGUCGGCCCCUAAGGCGAGGGCGAAAGCCGUAGUCGAUGGGAAACAGGUUAAUAUUCCUGUACCUGGAGGUAGUGACGAAUCCCGUGUGUUGUUUACCCUUAUUGGAUUGGGUAGGCCGCGAAGGGGUUCCAGGAAAUAGCUCCUCCAUUAUAGACCGUACCCCAAACCGACACAGGUGGUCUGGUAGAGUAUACCAAGGCGCUUGAGAGAACUAUGUUGAAGGAACUCGGCAAAAUGCUCCCGUAAGUUCGCGAGAAGGGAGACCUCCACUUAGGCAACUAGGUGGGGGUGGCACAGACCAGGGGGUGGCGACUGUUUACUAAAAACACAGGGCUCUGCGAAGUCGCAAGACGACGUAUAGGGUCUGACGCCUGCCCGGUGCUGGAAGGUUAAAUGGAGUGGUGCAAGCUGCGAAAUGAAGCCCCAGUAAACGGCGGCCGUAAC
rnacentral:rRNA from 1 species